rnacentral:rRNA from 1 species
GGCCGGGCCGGGCGGUCCGCCGCUUCGGUGGCGCGUACUGCUCGCGGGCCGGGCCCUGCCUCUUGGGGAACCCGCGCGGCCGUGGCUCUCGGGCCGCGGUGCGCGGGCGAGCCAAGACGUUUACCUUGAAAAAAUUAGAGUGUUCAAAGCGGGCGCACGCUUGCAUAGAUUAGCAUGGAAUAAUGGAAGAGGACCUGUGGUCUUGCUUUUGUUGGUUUUGUUGGCCGCGGUA